rnacentral:rRNA from 1 species
UGUGUAGGCGGUUGCUUAAGUUUGGUGUGAAAUCUCCCGGCUCAACUGGGAGGGUGCGCCGAAUACUGAGUGACUAGAGUGCGGGAGAGGAAAGUGGAAUUCCUGGUGUAGCGGUGAAAUGCGUAGAUAUCAGGAGGAACACCGGUGGUGUAGACGGCUUUCUGGACCGUAACUGACGCUGAAACACGAAAGCGUGGGUAGCAAACAGGAUUAGAUACCCUGGUAGUCCACGCCCUAAACGAUGCAUAUUUGGUGUGGGUCAUUCAGUUGAUCCGUGCCGGAGCUAACGCGUUAAAUAUGCCGCCUGGGGAGUACAGUCGCAAGGCUGAA